GAUGAAUGCUGGCGGCGUGCCUAAUACAUGCAAGUCGGGCGGUAACAGGGGUAGCUUGCUACCUGCUGACGAGCGGCGGACGGCUGAGUAACGCGUGGGAACGUACCCCAAACUGAGGGAUAACUAGUCGGAAGAUUAGCUAAUACCGCAUGUGGUCUUCGGAUUAAAGCCUUCGGGCGGUUUGGGAAUGGCCUGCGUACGAUUAGAUAGUUGGUGAGGUAAAGGCUCACCAAGUCGACGAUCGUUAGAUGGUUUGAGAGGAUGAUCAUCCAGACUGGGACUGAGACACGGCCCAG
rnacentral:rRNA from 1 species